CUACACAAGCACGUGGAAGUCAUCUUUGUCUCAGUCACAGUGCCAUUCAGAAAAGACCUCUGAUACCUCAAGCAUGACGGACCCUCUCUGAGUGUGCAUGGAUGAGAGGUUUGGGGUAGAGUAAUGACACGCCAGCUACAAGGUUUGGAAAUCACCUCUGGUUCCAUGGAAUGGUUUACAUCAGGAUUCCAAAGGCCCACUUCCACAACCCCAAACAGGAUAAGGAGCUCUCUUCCGCUCGCUGUGGGGAAGCAUAUCCAUAUCCACGGGUCAGCUUUCCCAAGCAAAACUCCUAAUGGAAAGGCAACGCUCCGGCGAGGAUCACUCCACGCUUCCAUGGACCUAUGCACUUCCAACAGUUUAAACACUCUGCUUAUAGCUCGCGGGGUCCAGUGCGUCCUGGUCCAGAGGCCCUGCGGUGGCUGGCAGGGGUCCCCUCAGAGGGAGGAGAGGCGGAGGUGGAGGUCUCAGAGCUGCGAUGGAGGAAGGGAAGAGGAGAGAGAGAGAGCGCAACCUCUGAGAGCUGCCUGGGGGACAAACGAGUG